UCAUUCCCACCACUGAUCCGGA
rnacentral:misc_RNA from 1 species